rnacentral:lncRNA from 1 species
UAUAACCAAGUCUUAUGCAUAUCAUAUCAUCUUAUAUAAUCAAGUAUCCAUGCUUAACAAUUUGAUCACUUACAUAUAUAUAUUCAUAUCUAUACCAACUAUACCAACUCAAGCCAUGUUAUAAUUUGCCUAGUAGUUAUCCAUCAAUCAAUUAUACCAAAACAUAUAUCAACCAUGAUAAGGCCAUAUACUUAUAUAUAUCAAAAUGUAUCAAACAUAAGCCAUUCAAAUGACUAAUCACAACAAAACAUUUACAUGCC